rnacentral:rRNA from 1 species
GUGGGGAAUCUUCCGCAAUGGACGAAAGUCUGACGGAGCAACGCCGCGUGAGUGAAGAAGGUUUUCGGAUCGUAAAGCUCUUUCGUCAGGGACGAACGUAUUUCUUGUAAAUAAUGAGAGAUAGUGACGGUACCUGAAUAAGAAGCCACGGCUAACUACGUGCCAGCAGCCGCGGUAAUAUGUAGGUGGCAAGCGUUGUCCGGAAUUAUUGGGCGUAAAGCGCGCGCAGGCGGGAUAUCAAGUCUGUCUUAAAAGUGCGAGGCUCAACCUCGUGAGGGGUCAGAAACUGGUAUUCUUGAGUGUCGGAGAGGAAAGUGGAAUUCCAAGUGUAGCGGUGAAAUGCGUAGAGAUUUGGAAGAACACCAGUGGCGAAGGCGACUUUCUGGACGAUGUCUGACGCUGAGGCGCGAAAGCUAGGGGAGCGAACGGGAUUAGAAACCCCUGUAGUCC